AGCUGUCGUUUUCCAGAAAGAAAAAACUCUUGGAAAUAUCUCCUUUGAAAACCAGCCUCUGGAGAAGAUCAAACGUCGAGUGUAAAAAGGUUCUCUUCUCAUAAUUCUAUAGUCUAUCUGGCCUCCGUCAUCACCAUCCUCCGCCUCUGUAAUCUCCGACCCAUCAUUUCUCUGACCAGGGUAAGUAUUGUUCUCCAUUUUUAAUCCCAUUUUUGCCAGAAUAUGCGCAUGCUCAUUAACUGUUCGCCUUACAUGUCGAAAAUAAAAAUUAAAAAAAUUAAAGAAUAUAUAAAGAAAGUUAAAAUUUUAAAAAAUUAAAAUAAUAAUUUUGACACUUAAAUAAAUUAAUUAGUGAUUCAAGUUUAUUAUAUUAAAGUAUAUUAUUUUUUUAUUAUUUUAUUUUGAAAAUCAAAUUUAAAAAAAGAAUUCACUCAAUUCAAUUGAAGAUUCACCCUAAUAUUGAGGAUUUGUUUAUGCAGAGUCUGGAGCUGUUGGGAUUACAGAAAUCUAUCCAAACUCUAUAGUGUAUAUAUAAGAAUUUGUGUUUGGAUCACUUGCGAGUUUAGGAUCACAAAAAAAAGGUGGAUUUAGUUGGAGACGAACAUUUCAAUGCUUUAAUUAGUACAAUCUUGUCUUUAAUUUGCCUUCAACUUCACCGUAAUGAAAGAUUAAGAUUUAAGAGUUGAGAUUUGCGAAUAAAUAAAUAAAACGACAACGAGUAAACUUUUAUUUAAUUCUCUUUUUCAAUUGUAUAUAAAUUAGUUUGUUUAAAAAAUAAAUGCGAGUGAAAAUAUUUAUAUAAUAAUUUUUUUAAAAAUUUGAUAAAAAUCAAAUAUGACUUUAGUUCAAAAUGGUAAAAUAUUUUGGUAAAAAAAUAUGAUAAUUUAGGUUUAAAUUUUGUGAUUUUCAUUAUACCCGUGCAGUAAUAUUUGUUGUUUUGUAAAAGAAAUAAAUUUUAGAUAAAUUUUUAAUGGCUUAAGGGUACAUAAAGUCUUUGAAUUUAUUCAAAGAAAUCAAACUAAGUCUUUACUCUUUUUUACACUCAAUUCCAAUCUUGAAUUGAAAAAAUUUGCUCAACUCAACUAGGUUUUUAAUUGUUAACUUUAAUAGUUGACCAUUAAAAUUUAACGGUUCCAUUUCUUAAAAUUUUUAGGUUAUAUUUGUCGCAUGGCAUAAUUGUAUCAUGCCGCAAAGAAAAUGAUAUUUUGUUUUUAAUUUGUCAAAGAAUAUUACCAAAUCAUAAUAAUUAUAAAUAUAUAUAAAUUAAUAAAAAUAUAAAAAUAUAUAGUUCUUUAAAAAAAUAUUAUUAACUAAUAGAAAAUUGUAAAAAAUUACAAAUAUAUAAAAAUAACACAUAAUUAUAACAUGAUAAAAAUACAAAAAAAAAUUAUAAAAGAAAAUGAUAUUCUUGUUUGGUUGGGUUGAUACUCGCGUAUCGUAUUAUUGAGUUGGGACAUAAUUGAUGGGUGAUGCCAACUCAACCAAUCACUUAUGUCUUGUUUGGUUGGGUUGAUACUCACAUAUCGUAUUAUUUAAUACGUCAGUAUUACGUAACAUGAAAAUAACCAUGUGUUUGGUAGAGAUGUAAAUUAAUACAUCAUUUUUUUUAUACACAAGUUGGGUGAUAUUUAUCACUGAUGUAGAGGUAGUAUUUAUUUAACACAAAGUGUUUUGUGAGUUGAUUCUUGUUUUUUUCAAUUAUAUCCUCAUAUAAUUAAAUAAAUUACAACUUUUAUCCUUGCUCUAAAAUUUCUCAAAUUUACCAAAAUCUCUCUGAACUGAUGGAAGAAGGAUAGUGGCUGAUGACAUUGGAAUAUCCAGAAAAAUAAAUAUGAAGAAUCAUUAAAGCUGUUAAAAAAGAUAGCUGAUAUAGAAUUUGAUGAUUAUCCAUUACACAUAAUUGAUGAAAUCAGAAACACAUGGGAAACUUGGAAUUCACCAAGACUGUCACCAGAAUCUCUACACUUGGAUGAGAUAGAAACUUGGAACCUUGACAAUAUCCAAGAAGGAUAAAGACAAAAUAACGAUCACUUGGAGAUUCAAAAAGAUUUUCAAGAUUGACAGUAAUUUGAAAAUCAAGGCAUUCAUGUAUAAACAAAGAUAUGAUGGGAGAACUGACAAGAUACGUGGAAGCAAUAAUAAAUUCAUCCUUAUCAGAAACACUGUUCAGGAUUGAAGAAAAAAUUAAAUGGAGUUUAGAAAUUUUGCUAUAAAUAGAAAUGUAAGAAGCCUAAACAGGGCAUCGAAAAAUAGCUUAGAAAUCUUUUCUUUUACUUUCAGUAUUCUCUCUUUGUAAACACUCUCUCUUUGUAAAAACCUUCCUUUUACUAUUAAUAAAAUACUUAUCUUCACUAAAAUUAUCUUCUAGAACCAAUGGAUAUUGAACAGAUAGAUCCUUAUGGUAAAAGAAAAAUAGAAUCAGAUAUUCAAAAAGAUGAUUAUCUGAGAGCUUUAAAUAAAGAUUUUGAGACAGUUGAAAAUACAACUAGGAUUUUUGGUAAUCAAACCGAAAAUAUAACUACUAAUGAAAUUAAAACCGAAUAUACAGGAGAAUCUUCUAAUCAACAACCAGGUCAAACUAUACCUAUACCACAUAGGAUAGAUGAUUUAAAUAAAAGAAAUGUGGCCCAAGGUGGAAUAUAUUUAGACCUAACUAAUAUUUCAAUAUCAGACUAUGAAAAAACUAUAGAUGAUUGGGCACAGUCAAUGACAAUUGUUG
rnacentral:lncRNA from 1 species